UUAUCUAGCUUUCUAUUGUGAGGGCCCUUUUGAUUAGGUAGGCGGACGUCGCUACGGGUCGUCACGGUGCUGAUGUAGCCGUCGACGGGGUUGGAGGGCCAGGACUCUUGAACUUGUCGCGUAAAUCCUGCGUGGUAUUCUGCAAAGAGCUCUGGGUUGGAGGUGAAGAGCUCCAUGGCUUGGCUGGACGGCGUGGUGUAGAGGGUUUGGUUGAGGUGACGGAAUCGGGCAGAGAGGAGCUUGUGGCGCAUGGAUUUCUGGAGAGGUGUGAGGGACGUGGAUGUCGGGGGAGCAAGAGGUAAGGGGUCGACUUCCGCUGGAGCUUGUGAAGCCGCACCAUUCAUCUGUCGAGCAUUAUUAUUUGCUUUGCACUUCUGCUUCUUGUUUUUCUUGGGCGGGCCACUUGAAUCUCCUUUAGUCACA
rnacentral:sRNA from 1 species